rnacentral:rRNA from 1 species
UCCAGACUCCUACGGGAGGCAGCAGUGGGGAAUUUUGGACAAUGGGCGCAAGCCUGAUCCAGCAAUGCCGCGUGAGUGAAGAAGGCCUUCGGGUUGUAAAGCUCUUUUGUCAGGGAAGAAAAGGCUAUGGAUAAUACCUGUGGCUCAUGACGGUACCUGAAGAAUAAGCACCGGCUAACUACGUGCCAGCAGCCGCGGUAAUACGUAGGGUGCAAGCGUUAAUCGGAAUUACUGGGCGUAAAGCGUGCGCAGGCG